rnacentral:misc_RNA from 1 species
UCCGGUUUGUCACCGGCAGUCUCAUUAAAGUGCCCAACUUAAUGAUGGCAAUUAAUGACAAGGGUUGCGCUCGUUGCGGGACUUAACCCAACAUCUCACGACACGAGCUGACGACAGCCAUGCAGCACCUGUGUUAGCAUUCCCGAAGGCACUAAUCUAUCUCUAGAAAAUUCGCUACAUGUCAAGGGUAGGUAAGGUUUUUCGCGUUGCAUCGAAUUAAUCCACAUAAUCCACCGCUUGUGCGGGUCCCCGUCAAUUCCUUUGAGUUUUAAUCUUGCGACCGUACUCCCCAGGCGGUCAACUUCACGCGUUAGCUACGUUACUAAGUCUAGCUAGACCCAACAACUAGUUGACAUCGUUUAGGGCGUGGACUAC